GCCGCUGUCGCCGAGCGUCGGAGCCCGAGGGGCCGCGGCCGCGCGCCGCGGGGGGAGGAGACGGUCUGGAGUCCCCCCGCUGCGCCGGAGAUGGGGAGACGGAGAACUGCAGCGCCCCUUGGGGCUUCUGAGGCGCCCAGGUAACCUCACCUGGCCGCCAGUCUCCCGCAGGAGGAACAGACACAUUGGUUCUACACCGAACCUAUUAACAGCUCAACUUCAAAUAUUUGGCAGAGGUGGGAUUGCAGUUCACUAAGGUUAUAUGAGCCAGCUUGGUUACGCAAAUGUGAAAAUGCACAUUUUCCAGCCUGUGUCAAGGUGGAAACAUCAGGGCAGAAGAACAUAACUGAUAAUAGCUGGUCACACCUAAGAAGCCAGGAAGCAGAGAGAAAUGGAGACCAGCCUACGAGGACACAUUCCUAGUGACCUUCUUCCCAACUUUGGGUUUCCACCAAUUCACAAGAACACCAUUAAUUAUGAAUUCAUCAACAAAUCAAUUCAUCAAUUAAGUUAAAGCUCCCAUGAUGCAAUCACUUCCCUACAUCCUCCCGUCUGAACAUCCUCGCCAUUGAGAACCAAGCCUUCAACACAUGAGUCUGGGCACAAUAAGUCACAUUGAAUCCAUUGAAGAUGUAAAUUUUAAUGGUUGAAAAUGACUAGCAUAUUAUGUCUGUGAAAUUCAGUAAAGGGGAAUAUGGAAGAGAACGUGUACUAAAACUAAGGGUUCUAGAACGCAUCUGUGCUCUUCCUUUCAAUCUGGAGAGUGAGACAAGGAAGUCUUAAGUUCAAGGCCAGCCUGGGCUAUGUAGUGUAUGCUACCAUUGGCUAUAUAAUUUGACUCCAGCAUUACAAGAAGUAGAGUAAAUAAAAGAUAAAAAAAAAUGACUAUAGAAGUAUCAAGAUAUUACGACUCAUUCAUAUGAUUUCUGCAAUUGAUUUAGUAUGGCAUAUGAUUUAGUAAUCAAAGUGGAUGAAGAUGAUAUAUAUGCAUUAAUAAGAAUAAGUAUGUGAGACUAAACACAGAAUGUCCACCAGACACUGGGCAGUAAUUAGAUUCAACUCUUGUAAAAAUGUUCAACAGGAAGAAAAAAAAACUAUAACUUUGCUUUAUACUUGGAUAGUUACUUUCAGUCAUACAGGUAUGGAAUAAAAUGAAAGGAAAAUGUAGAUGGGAUCUGAAGGCCAGCCUUCUAUUAUACUAUUAAAUUGUAGUGCAGGAAAGAAGAAGAGUUUGUUGUAUUUGAUGUUUUCCGAGGUUUUGUUUUUGUUUUUGAAGCAUCUUUUGUUUCACAGAUGCUGUUAAAUGUUGAACAUGACACAAUAAAAAGAAACAGACAAAAGUCACUGUCCUUGAGGAACUAGUAUGAAGAAAAAUCAGAUGUUAAUAAAACAAUCAUUCACAAGA
rnacentral:lncRNA from 1 species